CCUACGGGAGGCAGCAGUGAGGAAUAUUGGUCAAUGGCCGAGAGCCUGAACCAGCCAAGUCGCGUGCGGGAUGACUGUCCUAUGGAUUGUAAACCUCUUUUGUACGGGAGUAAAGCCCCUCACGUGUGGGUGUUGGAGUGUACCUGAUGAAUAAGCACCGGCUAAGUCCGUGCCAGCAGCCGCGGUAAUACGGAGGAUCCGGGCGUUAUCCGGAUUUAUUGGGUUUAAAGGGUGCGUAGGCAGCAUGUCAAGUCAGCGGUGAAAUGGUCGGGCUCAACGCGGGACGGGCAGUGCGAACGGGCGGGCUUGAGUCCGCGGAAAGCAGGCGGAAUUCGUAGUGUAGCGGGGAAAUGCUUAGAUAUGACGCAGAACCCCGAUUGCGAAGGCAGCUGGCUGCAGCGGAAGUGACGCUGAUGCUCGAAAGCGCGGGUAUCGAACAGGAUUAGAUACCCGGGUAGUC
rnacentral:rRNA from 1 species